rnacentral:rRNA from 1 species
UACGGGGGGAGCAAGCGUUGUUCGGAUUUACUGGGCGUAAAGGGCGCGUAGGCGGCCAGCACAAGUCAGUUGUGAAAUCUCCGGGCUUAACUCGGAACGGCCAAGUGAAACUGCCGAGCUAGAGUGCGGAAGGGGCAACUGGAAUUCCCAGUGUAGCGGUGAAAUGCGUAGAUAUUGGGAAGAACACCUGAGGCGAAGGCGGGUUGCUGGGCCGACACUGACGCUGAGGCGCGAAAGCCAGGGGAGCGAACGGG